CCGAACCGACUAAUGUUGAAAAAUUAGCGGAUGACCUGUGGCUGGGGGUGAAAGGCCAAUCAAACCGGGAGAUAGCUGGUUCUCCCCGAAAGCUAUUUAGGUAGCGCCUCGUGAAUUCAUCUCCGGGGGUAGAGCACUGUUUCGGCUAGGGGGCCAUCCCGGCUUACCAACCCGAUGCAAACUGCGAAUACCGGAGAAUGUUAUCACGGGAGACACACGGCGGGUGCUAACGUCCGUCGUGAAGAGGGAAACAACCCAGACCGCCAGCUAAGGUCCCAAAGUCAUGGUUAAGUGGGAAACGAUGUGGGAAGGCCCAGACAGCCAGGAUGUUGGCUUAGAAGCAGCCAUCAUUUAAAGAAAGCGUAAUAGCUCACUGGUCGAGUCGGCCUGCGCGGAAGAUGUAACGGGGCUAAACCAUGCACCGAAGCUGCGGCAGCGACACUGUGUGUUG
rnacentral:rRNA from 3 species